rnacentral:lncRNA from 1 species
GCUGUGAGAAGUUCUAAGGCAUUUGUGUAUUGCACCGGAGACUGAAAGAAGGGUGAGGUUUUGGGGGCUCUGAUGUGCAAUGUUGCCACCUUUAAGUGGCCCCUUACUCUCAUAAUCAGUGCUGAGUAGUGGCAAGGGGGAGAAAAUGGAAAAGUUGGCAUGGGAGAGAAGGCAGAUCCAGAAGAUAGGAUAUAGCUCACCCUGAGAAUGUGGCCUGAUUUUCUCUUCUGUUAUUACAACUGCUCUUCUGCUUGAGUUUCUUCUACACCUUCAAGAUGGCUGAAGAACAAGAUGCUUUCUCUCCAUGUCUAUGCUGUUUCACAUGCUGCAAAUAUUCCCAGCCUUUUCCCCUUGAUGCCUAAAAUAAAUUCCUCAAAUACCCUGAGCCCAGGAACUAUUCUUAAUUUCACAUAAAUUUUAUGUAAAGGGACUGAGUCCUUCCAUCCCCCUGCCACUUCCUGGAUUUUGCUCUUCCACACCUAAUUUCUCACCAAAAACAUACCACCAGCACCACCACCACAACAACACUGCUG